rnacentral:lncRNA from 1 species
GCAAGUCAGCAGAGCAGGAGGAAUGUUGUGUGGUCUACAGCAGUGGACAGGAAACGAAGUCUCAUAGUUACAUGCAACACAGCAUGGGAGGUAAAAUAAACCAUUUGUGUGGAUCCUAACGGCUUUCUAUGAAGUAAGGCAUCUUUCAUACACUUGAGUCCUCCAACUGAGUGAAUAAUCAACAGGCCCACGUGGAAACUCAAUUUUAGCUGAGGGACUCCAGAACAUCCACUUGUGUACCAGGGGAGAAAACCAAGACAAUGCAGUAUGAGAAAUUCUUCUUCUUUGGAACUCUCUGAGCGUCCUGGAUUUGGAUGUCUGUUUCUUGCACCAGACAUUGUGACUGGAGCAAAAGAAGCCAUUUUGAAACAUCAGUGUCUUCAUGUUACAUACUACUUGAAAUUUUAAUUCAACUGAAGAUAAAUUUGGUUUCCAGUGUGAUAUAUAAGAUAAAGUCAUCUCAAGUUUCUUCCCAGCCCCAUGUAUUUGUUAAUCAGUACAAAUUUCAAGAUACAACAGUCUGCUUCUCAACAAUUUGUUUCAUUUAAUUAAAU